rnacentral:rRNA from 1 species
UGGAAGUAAAAGUCGUAACAAGGUCUCCGUUGGUGAACCAGCGGAGGGAUCAUUACCGAGUUUACAACUCCCAAACCCAAUGUGAACCAUACCAAACUGUUGCCUCGGCGGGGUCACGCCCCGGGUGCGUCGCAGCCCCGGAACCAGGCGCCCGCCGGAGGGACCAACCAAACUCUUUCUGUAGUCCCCUCGCGGACGUUAUUUCUUACAGCUCUGAGCAAAAAUUCAAAAUGAAUCAAAACUUUCAACAACGGAUCUCUUGGUUCUGGCAUCGAUGAAGAACGCAGCGAAAUGCGAUAAGUAAUGUGAAUUGCAGAAUUCAGUGAAUCAUCGAAUCUUUGAACGCACAUUGCGCCCGCCAGUAUUCUGGCGGGCAUGCCUGUCCGAGCGUCAUUUCAACCCUCGAACCCCUCCGGGGGGUCGGCGUUGGGGAUCGGGAACCCCUAAGACGGGAUCCCGGCCCCGCAAUACAGUGGCGGUCUCGCCGCAGCCUCUCCUGCGCAGUAGUUUGCACAACUCGCACCGGGAGCGCGGCGCGUCCACGUCCGUAAAACACCCAACUUCUGAAAUGUUGACCUCGGAUCAGGUAGGAAUACCCGCUGGACUUAAGCAUAUCAAUAAGCGGAGGA